AAAUUGAAGAGUUUGAUCAUGGCUCAGAUUGAACGCUGGCGGCAGGCCUAACACAUGCAAGUCGAACGGUAACAGGAAGCAGCUUGCUGCUUUGCUGACGAGUGGCGGACGGGUGAGUAAUGUCUGGGAAACUGCCUGAUGGAGGGGGAUAACUACUGGAAACGGUGGCUAAUACCGCAUAACGUCGCAAGACCAAAGAGGGGGACCUUCGGGCCUCUUGCCAUCAGAUGUGCCCAGAUGGGAUUAGCUUGUUGGUGAGGUAACGGCUCACCAAGGCGACGAUCCCUAGCUGGUCUGAGAGGAUGACCAGCCACACUGGAACUGAGACACGGUCCAGACUCCUACGGGAGGCAGCAGUGGGGAAUAUUGCACAAUGGGCGCAAGCCUGAUGCAGCCAUGCCGCGUGUAUGAAGAAGGCCUUCGGGUUGUAAAGUACUUUCAGCGGGGAGGAAGGUGUUGUGGUUAAUAACUGCAGCAAUUGACGUUACCCGCAGAAGAAGCACCGGCUAACUCCGUGCCAGCAGCCGCGGUAAUACGGAGGGUGCAAGCGUUAAUCGGAAUUACUGGGCGUAAAGCGCACGCAGGCGGUCUGUCAAGUCGGAUGUGAAAUCCCCGGGCUCAACCUGGGAACUGCAUUCGAAACUGGCAGGCUUGAGUCUUGUAGAGGGGGGUAGAAUUCCAGGUGUAGCGGUGAAAUGCGUAGAGAUCUGGAGGAAUACCGGUGGCGAAGGCGGCCCCCUGGACAAAGACUGACGCUCAGGUGCGAAAGCGUGGGGAGCAAACAGGAUUAGAUACCCUGGUAGUCCACGCCGUAAACGAUGUCUACUUGGAGGUUGUGCCCUUGAGGCGUGGCUUCCGGAGCUAACGCGUUAAGUAGACCGCCUGGGGAGUACGGCCGCAAGGUUAAAACUCAAAUGAAUUGACGGGGGCCCGCACAAGCGGUGGAGCAUGUGGUUUAAUUCGAUGCAACGCGAAGAACCUUACCUGGUCUUGACAUCCACGGAAGAAUUCAGAGAUGGAUUUGUGCCUUCGGGAACCGUGAGACAGGUGCUGCAUGGCUGUCGUCAGCUCGUGUUGUGAAAUGUUGGGUUAAGUCCCGCAACGAGCGCAACCCUUAUCCUUUGUUGCCAGCGGUCCGGCCGGGAACUCAAAGGAGACUGCCAGUGAUAAACUGGAGGAAGGUGGGGAUGACGUCAAGUCAUCAUGGCCCUUACGACCAGGGCUACACACGUGCUACAAUGGCGCAUACAAAGAGAAGCGACCUCGCGAGAGCAAGCGGACCUCAUAAAGUGCGUCGUAGUCCGGAUUGGAGUCUGCAACUCGACUCCAUGAAGUCGGAAUCGCUAGUAAUCGUGGAUCAGAAUGCCACGGUGAAUACGUUCCCGGGCCUUGUACACACCGCCCGUCACACCAUGGGAGUGGGUUGCAAAAGAAGUAGGUAGCUUAACCUUCGGGAGGGCGCUUACCACUUUGUGAUUCAUGACUGGGGUGAAGUCGUAACAAGGUAACCGUAGGGGAACCUGCGGUUGGAUCACCUCCUUACCUUAAAGAAGC
rnacentral:rRNA from 1 species